GAGGGUGUAGCUCAGUGGUAGAGCUCUUGCCUAGCAUGGGUAAGGCCCUGGGGAUCAAUUCCCCACACCCCUC
rnacentral:tRNA from 1 species